rnacentral:rRNA from 1 species
AGAGUUUGAUCCUGGCUCAGGACGAACGCUGGCGGCGUGCCUAAUACAUGCAAGUCGAGCGGAUUUCAAGGAGCUUGCUCCUUGAUUUCAGCGGCGGACGGGUGAGUAACACGUGGGCAACCUGCCUAUAAGACUGGGAUAACUUCGGGAAACCGGAGCUAAUACCGGAUAAUCCUUUUCCUCUCAUGGGGGAAAGCUGAAAGACGGCGUAAGCUGUCACUUAUAGAUGGGCCCGCGGCGCAUUAGCUAGUUGGUGAGGUAACGGCUCACCAAGGCGACGAUGCGUAGCCGACCUGAGAGGGUGAUCGGCCACACUGGGACUGAGACACGGCCCAGACUCCUACGGGAGGCAGCAGUAGGGAAUCUUCCGCAAUGGACGAAAGUCUGACGGAGCAACGCCGCGUGAGCGAAGAAGGCCUUCGGGUCGUAAAGCUCUGUUGUUAGGGAAGAACAAGUGCCGGAGUAACUGCCGGCACCUUGACGGUACCUAACCAGAAAGCCACGGCUAACUACGUGCCAGCAGCCGCGGUAAUACGUAGGUGGCAAGCGUUGUCCGGAAUUAUUGGGCGUAAAGCGCGCGCAGGCGGUCUUUUAAGUCUGAUGUGAAAGCCCCCGGCUCAACCGGGGAGGGUCAUUGGAAACUGGAGGACUUGAGUGCAGAAGAGAAGAGCGGAAUUCCACGUGUAGCGGUGAAAUGCGUAGAGAUGUGGAGGAACACCAGUGGCGAAGGCGGCUCUUUGGUCUGUAACUGACGCUGAGGCGCGAAAGCGUGGGGAGCAAACAGGAUUAGAUACCCUGGUAGUCCACGCCGUAAACGAUGAGUGCUAAGUGUUAGAGGGUUUCCGCCCUUUAGUGCUGCAGCAAACGCAUUAAGCACUCCGCCUGGGGAGUACGGCCGCAAGGCUGAAACUCAAAGGAAUUGACGG